UGUAUUUUCUGCUUCUAGCUGAAAAGCUAUCUUAACUUCAAGCUGUAAGUGGGUGAAACCAAGAAUCAUGGGAAGUCUCACCAAAAUUAAGUUGUUUGGGUACGGGAGGGAGGAGUGUUAAAACCUCGGGGCACGAGUUGAUGCAGGAAGCUGCCAACAGGUCUUCCUGCAAACAGGCUGAUGGCACCCUGCAGGGGUGAAAAAGAUCUCAGUCCCCCAUGCUGGAGUUUUCCCCCUCCAGCCAGAUUUGCUUCACUACAAAAAUGAAAGGACAGAAAUAAGGAAGAAAAACAUUCUUUGAGUCUUUAACUGCAUUGUUUGGUACCAGCAGCUGGAGCUAAGUGUCACUGAACCUGGUCCACUAUGUCCCUGUAAAAAUCUUCACUAUCAGCCCAUUGUGGUAACACUGGAAGGCAUGACAGCUCAGCACACAGAAGGCAGAUGGAUUAAUUUUCAUAAUUAAUGAUAUACAUUCUCAUACUAAUGGUUGUUGGAUCCACCCCAGCGCAGGACAUUUGGUUGCUGGCUGUCACCCCACAUCCUAUGGUCAGCUCUGUGCGUUCGCUCCAACGGCACAGCAACGCUGAAGCAAUAUAGGUGUUGAGCGCUGACUUCAGAGGAGAGGAGCAGGAGCCCUCCUGGUGCUGCCGGUACUCCCUGGGCAGGUGAAGCUGUGGGACCUACUGAAGAACAUGGAGAACCUGCAGGACUGCUUUCUCCUAGUACCUCUAUCUGCAAGAGUCAUUUUCCUUACCUGGAAUCUGCAGAAGUUAAUAAUCUUGCUGGAUUUAGUAGCUUUUAAAUCAAGCCCCCAUCCUAUUCUCUCUGUGAGGAAAUCUAAAUCUUCCCCAUAAAACCAGGACAAUGCUAGUGUAAGGGAUGGUGGAUGAAAGAUUUCUGUAAUGUGAACACAUUAUUUAUGAAAGUGUCAUGAAAAAAAAAUACCCACCCUAGUAAAAAAUGAAUUCACAAAACAAUUUGCAGUGCAAAUCUCACUUCUACAGUGUGCCUGCUGAAUUAUCUAUUAUAAAUUAGCUCAUUUUGAAAUUGGUGAAGCCUGCAGAAUGCUGCAUUCCCUCUGGACCGGGAGCUCUACACAUACUGUCUCGUAGGGGAUAAAAAAGUAAUUACUGAAGAUCACCCUUUCCCAGACAAGUGCUGUGGACUGUUCAACCACUCAUUUACAAUUUAAUCCCAGGGUCCUCACUGAAAUAGGUUUUUAGGUGCUAACUGGAGGCUAACAAAAUGGUUAUUUGAAUUCAUUACAUUUGAUAAAACAGAAAACUUACUUUCAGUUGUGUGGAAGAAUUGAAGCUGCUUUUUGUGGGGAAAAGGGGAAACAAUGAAAUAGGAUUAUUUGAUGGUUCAUUUUUAAUUAUUUUUUUCCUUUAUCUCUCAUGCUGACUGCUUCCUAUUUCAAUUUAAUUUCUACUUUUUUCUUAACAUUUAGUUUGAGUGAUAAAUAAUAGUUUACUAUUUCACCAGCUAUAAUAUUUGAAACUUUCUAUAGAUAAAAAUACAUAUUUAAAAAUGUUAAUUUGAGAAGUAUU